AAAUGGUGCAAUACCUUUCAUAUGUGUUGGUUUAGUGCUUACCUUUGCUUUGAUGAUAAGCGGUACAAUAUAUGAUAUAUUUAUAUAUCAAACAUAUUUAAAGGCAACGAAUAAAACUGUUAAUGUAGAAAACGCGGUCGAGAUGCAUAUGA